AAAUAUAUAGUUUAUAAAUUAAAACAUUAUAUUUUCAAUAUAAAAAAAUUUUUAUUAAUUAUAUUUA
rnacentral:tRNA from 1 species